GCCAGCUUUUCCUGCCCUUCUUUUGUGUGCAGACUGUCAGCAUAUACCUCCAUAAAGUACUUAAUGCUUUAUUUCUAUGAUUAUCUGCAUGGAAAUAAUGGAAGAAGAGACCAAAACUAGUGCUUGAUUCUACUGUCACAUUCAAAGUGUGAAGGGAAGAGAUUUGGUCUUGAAAGUCUCCAGGACUUUCCAGAUGUCUCUGAGCUCCAGGACAUGAAAUGUGUUUUGUGUCCAGAGUGGUUGUGAAGUCAGUAACCUCCUGAGGAAGCUCCCCAAUAGCUGGAACCAAGCCAAGUAGCAGGCUGCCUUCAGAGAUGAUGCGAGCAGGCUCUUUUUCUUUGGAGCAAUGACCAGGAAGGAUCGGAGUUGGUUUCUUGAGCAGCUGUGCUCUCAGAUGAACAGCAACCAGGAAAUUUCCUUGGAAGAACACACCUCUGAUGAAUAGCUGUGUGCCCAUCCCUGAAGCUGCAAACAUCCUGAAAGCCCAAUCCAGAAAGACGUUUUUGUAAGGUAUUAUACUUCAGUACAAGGUUUUGGAUUGCCCUGGGACCUUGCAAGAUUUGGCUUUUAAAGAAAACUUUCUGUACAAGGAGGCUGUCGCAUGUUCCUCUCUUCAUGUGCCAGUCAGAGAAAGAAAAAGGAAAUGUAAUCCAGAACAAGCCAUUAAAACAGUGACCAGGGGUAUUCUUGGAUCCAACUGCAAGCUCAGCUUCAAGGGGCAGCAGAGAUCUGGUGGUUUUAUUUGCAAAGGUUCCACUGGAAGUGGAAGUGGUGAGCAUGUGACAAAGCCAAGAGCAGCAAACUGCGGGACUUGAAACUUUAAUAAGCCCUAAGGCUUUCUGCAGAGUUCAUUGCUUCUUCUGGAUCCCAGGGGCAGCUACUUGCCUGUUCCAGACACACAUCUCUGGCAUUUGCAUGUCCCAUGGCUGGAGGAGCUGCUCUUUUAAACCUUCCUGAGCUGCAGCCUAGCACUAUCCCUGGUGUAGGACCUGAGAGUAGGAGCCAGCUUUUGGGAGAGCAGGGCACAUAAGGGCAGGCAGCGAUGCCAGCACUGCUCCCCAAAUCACCUCGCUUCGUUGUGAAACUUCCAGUCGGAUCUGGGCUGUGUAAGACAGAGGUUCCAUUUCAGGGAAAUAUUAAAGGAGAAAUUUCAAAGGGACUUCAGAGAAUGCUUAAAGCUUACUGGAAUGAAGUUUGGCAGACAAGUUUCCACAACGCAGUCGUUAUUACUAUCAAGAAGUAAGGAUCACACCUACGCUGUCUGAUUUUGUCCAGUAGCGUUGCCAUGAUUUCCUGUUCCCCUUGAUAUGGGCUAAUUGAGGAUUUUAGCAAGCAUGUCCUUCCUUGUGGAGCAGAAGCCUGACCUUGGCGUUGACAUUGGCUUAAAAGUAUUUUUAUAUUCACCAAUAUUUAUAUUCAAGGCUGCAGAACCAAAUACUGUUAUGCUGUGUGAAGAGAUCUCAGCAAAGGGACACGAGUUAAAGAGGAACGAUUACAUUGUAAAAAGUCAUAAAACCUUCCAGGAUUAAAAAUCUCAGGAGGUUACACUGUGGCUAUGAGGAGAUUUUUAUAAAGCUUCAAUAUGGAGCCACACACACAGGAACAACAGAAUGUGGACCCUCACCUUGUUGGCAAUGGUUUUCCCAAGUACACUGGCUCCUGCUUAAUCCAGAGGUUUUAAAACAGAGCUUCAAGCCGCAAGACCGCAAACAGAGACAGCUCUUGUACAGAGUGAAAAAAAUUAGGAGCCUCUAUGGAACAGCUCCGUGCUGACCUUCCUUGUGCUGUGUCCGUACCCAACGCAAUCAAUGCAGACUCGAGCUUGAGGACAAAGGAACUGCAAGGACUUCCUUGCUGCUUCAGUUCCCUUUGCUAGCUGUGCAUUGCAUUGUUGCUGAAAUACCUGCAAGCCCCCAGCAUUUAGCUCCUGUGUCUGUUCCCAUCACUUCAGGCGGUAGAAAGGAAGAAAGCCAAGGGGAAACCAAGAGGAAAUCACACCUCAUUGAUCCAUGGAGCCCGGCAUCACCAGACUGUGCUGCAGGCGUCACUGCUGAAGAUGCUGACUGCAAAGACACCGCUUGGCUCUGGGAAACCAUGGGACUCGUUGUUAAGCAUUACCAACAAGGUAAAAAUGUCAUAAUGAAGAGAUGCAGAUAUCUGGUAGAGUUGGCUGAAAAUUCUCCCUCCUAAUGCUUUCCUAUUGAAAACUGUGGUUUUGAUGAAAGCAUUUGCUUUCCUCAGCAGAAUUUAUUGUUCAGAACUUGAACAUGUCGUUUUCAUUUGGACUUUGAAACAUUCUGGUUUUCUUUGAUGGAAGACAAAGUGAAACUCAGCUCUCCAUUAGAAGUCAAAGCUUGGCAGCAGACUUCGAUAAAUUCCAACUCAAGUCAUAGUUGUACAGGAAGAAAAAAUCUAAUUUCCAAUUAUGGCUAUUUAUUUAGCUUAUUUUUUCAGCCACUUCUAGUUUUCUUAAAAUAUAUCAGGGAUUUGUAGAUACUCAGAAAAGAACUGGACAAAAAAAGAAUUGAAAUUAUGAGUUGUCUUUGAAAUAUUUGAUACUAUAUUAAAGUAAGAGGAAGCUCAGAAUAUGCUUUUACAAAUGUAGACAUUUGUCCCAGCUUCCUACAGUGACAUAAAUUAGUUCAGCUCUUUUGCAGUCAUGGGAUCAGAUUCCUAGUCACUCUCAGUCAAAUUUACAUCUGGAAUAAAGUGACACAGCUCUCUUCGCUCUCUUCAUGAAACCAGGUGGGCCAGGUAUGCAGGGAUAUAAACCCAAAUUCAUUAAGUUACCUGAUGUAGAUCAGUGACAGAUUUGAACUAUUUGGGUUUUUAUUGAACUGGCUGAAUUACUGGUGAGUUUUUACGAUAGGUUUCAGUAGCUAAGUAGUUGGAAGCAGGGUGGCUUGGUCAGAUGUUUCUAAAAAUCAGUCCUUGGAGGUGCUAACUCCAUUACUGCCGUUCUCCAUGGAAUAGCUGAAAAAGGAACAGAAAGGAACCAUGCUUUUAUUGAUCAUGCAGAGCAUGUGCUAAAUAGUACAAGGAUAAGACCUGCAAUACAUUCCGUGCUAACAAUUUUUGAUUUUCAAUUCUGUCCAAAUUUUUUUCUCUUGGAUGAUUUUUUCUGCUACAUGGAGAAAUCUGAAGAACAUUGCCAUAUGUGGGAUGGAGAGACAGAAAGUCUGACUUUGUUCCUUGACCUACAGAGAGAGCUGAGAUGUUUUCUUCCGCUGUGGUUUCUGCUUUGUGCCCAAGCAGCCUUUUCCUAGUUCCUCACAGGGGAUUUUUCGGAUGUAUUCAUUAAUAGCUGCUCUGAGGCUCUGCAUCCACAAGGUUUUUCAUAGCCAGUAAUCCUUAAUGAAGAUCACAGAAAUAUCUGGAGAGAAGAAUUGAAAUCUGAAAUGCAGCAGCAAAGCUCAAUUCCAAAAACCACGGAGAAGCUGAAGGACCUGAUGCCGGGUCUUUUGUCUGAGCUUGUGUUGCUGAUCACAUAGCUGAGAUGAACUGUGCUUAGAAAGCUCACAUCUCGUUUUCCAUCAAAUUUGUGCCAUUUAAUUUAUUCAUUUAAUUUUCUUCCAUGAUGGAAUAAGUUUUUGCAACUCUUCCCUUGCAGUCCCAGGCUAAAGCUCCAGCUUUUAUGGUCUGUAUUUCUAAGCAUUCGUUUUAGGCAUUUGCUUUUAUAUAUUGACUUGAAUAAGCAAUGUAAGGAAAUAAUAUGAGAGGGUCACUUGUCAGAAGAAGAGUCCCCUGUUUUCAUUGGCAGGGCUCUGAGGAGGUAAACUUUCUGGGAAAUAUCUGUUCCUGAUGUGAGAUGAUUGUUUGUGCUGACCCUUGGCAAAACUCAUCCUGUGCUUGUCAGUGAAAAAAAAAAUGGAAAAAAGUCAAACAGGAGAUGAUAAAGAAUGCAAAAGUG